rnacentral:rRNA from 1 species
GGGCGCACCACCGGCCUGUCUCGGCCGCAACGUCGGCGAGGCGGAGCAAGAGCGUACGCGUUGGGACCCGAAAGAUGGUGAACUAUGCCUGAGCAGGAUGAAGCCAGAAGAAAUUCUGGUGGAGGUCCGUAGCGAUUCUGACGUGCAAAUCGAUCGUCG